rnacentral:rRNA from 1 species
UGUCGGCUCGUCACAUCCUGGGGCUGCACAAGGUCCCAAGGGUUCCGGAGUUCACGGAUUAAAGUGGCACGCGAGCUGGGUUCAGAACGGCGUAAGCCAGUUCGGUCUCUAUCCACUGUGCGCGUUAGAAAAUUGAGGGGAGUCGCUCCUAGUACGAGAGGACCGGAGUGAACUGACCUAUGGUGUACCAGUUGUCCCGCCAGGGGCAUACGCUGGGUAGCCAAGUCGGGAAGGGAUAAGCGCUGAAAGCAUAUAAGCGCCAAGCCCACCCCAAGAUGAAUUUUCUUUGAAGAUCCCUUGAAGACUACAAGGUUGAUAGGUCACAGGUGUAAGCGUGGUAACACGUUAAGCUAAGUGAUACUAAUUGGUCGUAAGUUAG